CAUAUUCUUCAGGGAAGGUGAAAUUCCUUACCGGCGGUAAAGUCCGCGAACCCUUUUGGGCCGAACUUGUGAAAUUCAAGUACCGACAGUACAGUCUGGAUGAAAGAAGAAAUAU
rfam:Peptoanaerobacter stomatis strain OBRC8 ctg120007290651, whole genome shotgun sequence.